UAAAUAAAAUGUUAAAAAAGAAAAGAAAAGGAUAGCCAGAGAGAAAACAAAGCCCAGACAGAAGAGGGGACUUGCGAUUAUCUUCCAGAGCAGAAUCAUCUCUGGACCCUGAGCCUGCCUGCUUUGUUUGGCUUCUCAGACUUCUUUUGGCUGCCUACUUGGUGGUUUUUCCUUAUGUGCUCAAUCUCUGAAAUGAGACAGGGCUAGGAGCAAGUCCUUGGAGUCAGCACAUUGGAGAGUUCCUUCCUGGCCCUCCGCUCACGACCACACUGUGUCUUGCAUCACAAGUCCCAGGCAAAGGCCAAGAAAGUGUUUUGGGGAGGAGUUCACUGUGCACAGCCCUGUUCCUCUUCCUGCGGUCUCACGUUAUCUGUGGCUAAAAGAGGCAGCCAAAUAUAGUGGUUAAGAACCUAAAUUCUGGAAGCAGACAGCCUGAGAAUAAAUCCCAGUUCCCCAUUUACUAGGGGAGCAAGUUACUUGACAUUUUACAUAUGCCUCAAUUUCCUCACCUUAGAAAGGGUGUAGUCCAUUUCACUGGGUCAUUAGGAAGAUUAAACAGUCAACACGUGUAACAUACUUGGAACAAUGCCUGGCGCAUAGUAACUGCUCAGUAAGGGUCAGCUAUUAUUAUGGCCAGACUCGCCAUGUGAGAAAUUUUGAAAAAUGGGCACCAAGCAGCUAUAGAAAUUUUCUCUUCAGAACUGCCUACUCAGAGCAGCCCUGAAUCGGCAGUGGCCUUCCUCAGCUCUAUAACAGCCAUCUUCUAACCCUUCAGUAAGACACCCAUUUAACUCACCAAAAGAGAAAAACUAGAGACCAAACGAGGAUGUUUCAGGGCAUUCAAGCUUCUGAAAAGAUUUUUCUGCCAGCCAUUCAUUUCCAGAUUUUCUGACCCAGGAGCACCAAAAAACAAAACAGAACCAAAAAAAAUACCGGAAGCUUUUUGUGUAUGUGAUGGAUAAGGAGGGUGCUAAAGGAGACUGAACCACUAGGUGGCAGCAGAUGAGCAGACGAACCAAAAACAACCAAUUGCCUCUCCUUUUAGGAGCCCUUGCACCAAUCCAGACCUACAGGUUUUCUCUCCUCGCCUUGCUCGACUGCAUCAUCUAAAGGAGAGGCCCAGGGGAGGCGGGCAGGAAAGAGGGAGGAGCCCCCGCCGGGGCUCCGCAUCUGCCUGUUGACAAACUUUAUUUCUCUCCCAGCACCUGGCACCUCACCCGGGCUGCAGCAGUAGAGCCCGCUACCCAGGGAUGGGUUAACCCAGACGCUCAGGCCCUGCCACGUGAGAGGAGAGAAGCACACACAGGGAGGACGAGGCCUCUUCUGAGAGCAUGAAACGCUGCGAGGGCACUUCCUCUAUCAAGUGGACACUUCACUGGCCCAGAAAGUGCUGCAGACCUUGUCGCCGCUUCUCAAUGAACUCAUCAGAGCUGCCAAAGAAGGUUGACUUCCCAGGAAGUUCAGGCUCAGGACAGUCAAAACAUCUACCAACCGGUUCUGCCUCAGCACCAGCCCUCAGCCCCAGAAGGGGUUGACCCCAAUACAGAAGUCCGAAGCACUUACGUGGAGAAAGAUCUUAUAAUCCACGUAAGAAUUCCAGGAGCCCUCAUUCUGCACACGGGGAUCCUGAACACGCACAGUGAUCACCUCCUAGAGGAGAAGCGGAACUCAUUUACACCACGAAAUUAGCAGAGCAAAGAGCUUUCCCAAUUCCUUCCAGUGUACCAGAAGAUCCCUCCACACACAGCCACUGCGCACAGAGACAAAACCUCCCGGUAGAUGACCGGGCUACACCAUUGAGCAAACUAGAGGUUUUGUGACUGUGAUACCAGCUUUGUACUUUUGCUGACAAUCUGAUUUUUCAUCUG